ensembl:rRNA 5S_rRNA 5S ribosomal RNA
UAGAUGGCAGCUAGCUCUCUGCAACUCUCACAUGGUCGCCCAUUGAAGCUAAGCCGGGCUGGGCCCGGUCAGUACCUGGAUGGGAGACCACAUGGGAAAGCUAGGUUGCAGUCUGU